CCGGCUUAGUGGUUAAGCGCUCAGGCGCAAGACCGAUAGGUCCUGGGUUCGAACCCCGUGAGGCG
rnacentral:tRNA from 1 species